rnacentral:rRNA from 1 species
AGUGAACGCUGGCGGUAGGCCUAACACAUGCAAGCCGAACGGCAGCACAGGAGAGCUUGCUCUCUAGGUGGCGAGUGGCGGACGGGUGAGGAAUACAUCGGAAUCUGCCCAGUCGUGGGGGAUAACGUAGGGAAACUUACGCUAAUACCGCAUACGACCUUCGGGUGAAAGAGGGGGAUCGCAAGACCUCUCGCGAUUGGAUGAGCCGAUGUCGGAUUAGCUAGUUAGCGGGGUAAUGGCCCACCAAGGCGACGAUCCGUAGCUGGUCUGAGAGGAUGAUCAGCCACACUGGAACUGAGGCACGGUCCAGACUCCUACGGGAGGCAGCAGUGGGGAAUAUUGGACAAUGGGCGCAAGCCUGAUCCAGCCAUACCGCGUGGGUGAAGAAGGCCUUCGGGUUGUAAAGCCCUUUUGUUGGGAAAGAAAUCUUUCAGGCUAAUACCCUGGGAGGAUGACGGUACCCAAAGAAUAAGCACCGGCUAACUUCGUG